ensembl:lncRNA
GUGCUAGCUGGCAUACGUGCCAUCUGCAAGACCCAGCGUGAAAGUUAAGAAGUUUAAAGAUGUUAUUUUCUCUGAAGACCGCAGAUCUGUUGGGUAGAAAGGGCUGGAUGAUGUUGCAGGCCAGUCUUUUCUUUUGAGCUAUUCGGUGAAGGAGUGUUCAGGAAUUUUAUCAUGUUCCUGUCAGCUGUUUGGGGAAGGAAGAUAACGAUCUGCUUCUGCAGGACCAGCAACGGCCUGUUCGCGCGUGUGGGUUCCCUGAAGUGUGUGUUCAUGUCUGGACUUGAAUGCGAGCAGGGGUCAUAGGUCUUGGGGGGGUGCCAGCUGUUGAGGAAGAGCUCUCUGUGGCGGGCCGAAGGGGAACGGCAGGCUCCGAGCCCCACUGAGGAGCUGACCCGCUGGGCCUUAUUACCUGCACGCUGGGGUCCCCACACCUCCAGCAACACUACUAAAGCUCUGCAACACAGGCUAAUCUCCAUUUAGAAGCUGCCUGAGCUCCUUUAAAGCUGAUGUGACCGUAAAGGGUAGAUGGACACAAUGGAAAUGGCAACAUGCAGUUCAGUCCAGUUCAGUUCAUUCAGGUCAUUGUAAAAUAAUACUACAGUUGCAGCAAAUAUUCAGUAAUAGUAAAUAAAUGAACCAAUUAAAUGUUCAAAAAUUCUUCUGUGAGGAAACAGAUCUUUCAUAAAGUUAUGUGUUUUAGCCUGUCGUCAGUAUCUAGCGCUUAAAUCGGACCUGGAAUUUUGGUCUGAACCUGUAGUCUGUCCAAGAACUUUCUGUCCGAGCCCAACUUGACACAUAGCAUCGUGUCUUCUGACCACUCACUGACCACUUUAUUAGAAUCACCCACUUUGUGCUUCACCUCAUUGGCCACUUUAUUAGAAACACCCACUUUGUGCUUCCCCUCGCUGGCCACUUUAUUAGAAACACCGUAUAAUUCCACUAUAUGGGUGUGAAAUUAUAGACUGUAGCUCAUCUGUUGCUGCAUAUUUAGUAUCUUCUGUACUCCUUUCAUCUUUUGUCAAUUUCAGGCCUCAAGGCUGCUGUUGUCUGGACAGUAUUUGGUUGACAGGGACCCACCAUCCAAAAAUAUCCAGACAAGAGCAGACCUGUGGUCAGAAACUGACCAGUGAUGAAGGAUGCAGGAUACCAAAUGUGUAUCAGCAGAUAAGUUGCAGUCUCUAACUGAGCACCAGCAAGGUGGCGCUGCAGUUCUGCUGAUGUCUUCUGUGGAGUGGCACACGCUGAGAUGGUAAUAAGACGCUCCAGUAAGAUUGUAUUGUGCUUUUGAGUGACACCAAGACUUAAAAACCUGUGGCAUAAAUUGCUCUGCAAUACAAAAGCCCUCGCCCAUCCCGAAGAGUUGAGUUGUGGAUCAAACGUCCGCACACAACUGAUCCGUACACACACAACAUCGACAGUGCUAGACAGACGCAGCC